AGCGGAGGAAAAGAAAAUAACAAUGAUUUCCCUAGUAACGGCGAGUGAAGAGGAAAGAGCUCAAAGUUGGAAACUGUUUGGCUUAGCUAAACCGUAUUGUAAACUGUAGAAACAUUUUCCUGGCACACCAGAUUAAUAAGUCCUUUGGAACAAGGCAUCAUGGAGGGUGAGAAUCCCGUCUUUGAUCUGAGUAGUUGUCUUUUGUGAUAUGUUUUCAAAGAGUCAGGUUGUUUGGGAAUGCAGCCUAAAUUGGGUGGUAAAUCUCACCUAAAGCUAAAUAUUUGCGAGAGACCGAUAGCGAACAAGUACCGUGAGGGAAAGAUGAAAAGAACUUUGAAAAGAGAGUUAAACAGUAUGUGAAAUUGUUAAAAGGGAACCGUUUGGAGCCAGACUGGUUUGCCUGUAAUCAACCUAGAAUUCGUUUUGGGUGCACUUGCAGGCUAUACCUGCCAACAACAGUUUGAUUUGGAGGAAAAAAUUAAUAGGAAUGUAGCCUCUCGAGGUGUUAUAGCCUAUUAUCAUACUCUGGAUUGGACUGAGGAACGCAGCGAAUGCCUUUAGGCAAGAUUGCUGGGUGCUUUCGCUAAUAAAUGUUAGAAUUUCUGCUUCGGGUGGUGCUAAUGUUUAAAGGAGGAACACAUCUAGUAUAUUUUUUAUUCGCUUAGGUUGUUGGCUUAAUGACUCUAAAUGACCCGUCUUGA
rnacentral:rRNA from 2 species